AGAGUUUGAUCCUGGCUCAGAUUGAACGCUGGCGGCAUGCCUUACACAUGCAAGUCGAACGGCAGCACGGGAGCAAUCCUGGUGGCGAGUGGCGAACGGGUGAGUAAUACAUCGGAACGUGCCCAAUCGUGGGGGAUAACGCAGCGAAAGCUGUGCUAAUACCGCAUACGAUCUACGGAUGAAAGCAGGGGACCGCAAGGCCUUGCGCGAAUGGAGCGGCCGAUGGCAGAUUAGGUAGUUGGUGGGGUAAAGGCUCACCAAGCCUUCGAUCUGUAGCUGGUCUGAGAGGACGACCAGCCACACUGGGACUGAGACACGGCCCAGACUCCUACGGGAGGCAGCAGUGGGGAAUUUUGGACAAUGGGCGCAAGCCUGAUCCAGCCAUGCCGCGUGCAGGAUGAAGGCCUUCGGGUUGUAAACUGCUUUUGUACGGAACGAAACGGCUCUUUCUAAUAAAGAGGACUAAUGACGGUACCGUAAGAAUAAGCACCGGCUAACUACGUGCCAGCAGCCGCGGUAAUACGUAGGGUGCAAGCGUUAAUCGGAAUUACUGGGCGUAAAGCGUGCGCAGGCGGUGAUGUAAGACAGUUGUGAAAUCCCCGGGCUCAGCCUGGGAACUGCAUCUGUGACUGCAUCGCUGGAGUGCGGCAGAGGGGGAUGGAAUUCCGCGUAGCAGUGAAAUGCGUAGAUAUGCGGAGGAACACCGAUGGCGAAGGCAAUCCCCUGGGCCUGCACUGACGCUCAUGCACGAAAGCGUGGGGAGCAAACAGGAUUAGAUACCCUAGUAGUCC
rnacentral:rRNA from 1 species